rnacentral:lncRNA from 1 species
AUGAUGAACACUAACUCUGCUGCACCUUGGUCUACUCUCUCUUCAGACAGCCGUUACAGAAUUACCCACCACAAAAAGACCAAGCAGCGGAGAAGAGGGCAGAUGGAAGUCAAGGAGGACUAUUGGAAGCAGCGCGCUCGGGAGGACAUGGCAUCCUGGUCGCUGGAGGUGUUGGAGUCAAGGAUUGACUGGACAUGGGAGCAAUUGCGGGACCACUGUGACAACGUCCCUGGGAGGCAGGUAGAGCCCGAGAAGCAGCCCCCCCAAAAAAUUUGGGGGGGGCACACGGGGAGUGUGGCAGAGUCAGGUUGGAGACCUGAGCCAGCUCCCCGUGCUUACAGGAGGCAACGUAGUACUGGUCAGGCACCGUGUUAUGCAGUAAAGCGCACGGUGUCCCCAGUACGCGUGGAGAGCCCGGUGCGUUACAUCCCAGCUCCUAACAUCUGCCGGGGGAGGUUGGGCAUUGAGCCAGGACGGGUUGUGCAGGCCGUGCGCUCUAGACCUCCAGUGCGUCUUCAGGACCCGGUCUAUCCUGUGCCUGCGCCCAGAACCAGGCCUCCUGCAUGUCUCCCCAGCAUGGUGAAUCUUGUGCUGCCUCCACGGACCAGGCCUCCAGUGGGUCUCCCCAUCCUGGUCUCUCCUGUGCCGCUUCCACGGACCAGGCCUCCAGUGGGUCUCCCCAUCCUGGAUAAGCCUGUGCCUCCUCCAUGGACCAGGCUUCCAGUGGGUCUCCCCAUCCUGGUCUCUCCUGUGCCACUUCCACGGACCAGGCCUCCAGUGGGUCUCCCCAUCCUGGUCAGUCCUGUGCCUGCUCCACGGACCAGGCCUCCAGUGGGUCUCCCCAUCCUGGUCUCUCCUGUGCCGCCUCCUUGGACUAGGCCUCCAGUGGGUCUCGCCAGUCCAGAGCCGCCAGAGCCGCCCGCAUGUCCGGAGCCGCCCGCCAGUCAGGAGCCGCCAGAGCCGCCCGCCAGUCAGGAGCCGCCAGAGCCGCCCGCCAGUCAGAAGCCGCCAGAGCCGCCUGCCAGUCAGGAGCCGCCAGAGCCGCCCGCCUGUCCGGAGCCGCCAGAGCCGCCCGCCUGUCCGGAGCCGCCAGAGCCGCCGGCCUAUCCAGAGCCGCCCGCCAGCCCGGUGAGUCCUGUGCCUGCGCCUAGGGCAAGGUCUCUUACAUGUCUCCUCAGCCUGGUGAAUCCUGGGUCAGUGCCGCCGGAGCUUCCAGGGACGCCCGCCAGCCGGGCACAACCAUCGCCGCCCGUCAGCCGGGCGCAGUCAGGGUCGCCCACCAGACCUUCGGCGCGGCCAGGUGCGCCACCUAAGAGGGCGACGUCGAGGGUGGAGCAGAGGCCACGUCCCGCACCUGAGCCGCCGCCGUAA